UAUCCUUUUUCCUAUCGUUUCUUGCUAAAAAGUCAUCAUUCAGCGGGUGCUGCCUGUGAUCCCAGCACUUGGGAGGCUGAGGCAGGAGGAU
ensembl:miRNA